UACGAAGGGGGCUAGCGUUGCUCGGAAUCACUGGGCGUAAAGGGCGCGUAGGCGGCCCGGUAAGUCCGCUGUGAAAGUCCAGGGCUCAACCCUGGGAUGCCGGUGGAUACUGUCGGGCUCGAGUCCGGAAGAGGCGAGUGGAAUUCCUGGUGUAGCGGUGAAAUGCGCAGAUAUCAGGAAGAACACCCGUGGCUAAGGCGGCUCUCUAGUACGGUACUGACGCUGAGACGCGAAAGCGUGGGGAGCGAACAGG
rnacentral:rRNA from 1 species